GGAGCUUCAAUAUUCUUUAUCUG
rnacentral:piRNA from 1 species